GACGAACGUUGGCGGCGUGCUUAAUACAUGCAAGUCAACUGAAGCAGUGGUAGCAAUAUCGCUGUGGAGGUGGCGCACGGGUGAGUAACACGUAGGUAACCUGCCUUCAGGUCUGGCAUAACUCCGGGAAACCGGGGCUAAUAGCAGAUGAUGCAGCGGCUCGACAUCGAGACAGUUGUUAAAGCUAUGGCGCCUGAAGAUGAGCCUGCGUCUGAUUAGCUAGUUGGCGGGGUAACGGCCCACCAAGGCAACGAUCAGUAGCUGGUCUGAGAGGAUGAUCAGCCACACUGGAACUGAGACACGGUCCAGACUCCUACGGGAGGCAGCAGGAAGGAAUAUUGCUCAAUGGGAGAAAUCCUGAAGCAGCAACGCCGCGUGAGGGACGAAGGGCUUUUGCUUGUAAACCUCUGUAGUGAGAGAAAAAAAUCCCAAUCUUUGGGACAUGAUGGUAUCUCAAAAGUAAGCCCCGGCUAACUACGUG
rnacentral:rRNA from 1 species